AUUGAACGCUGGCGGCAGGCCUAACACAUGCAAGUCGAACGAGUGGCGGACGGGGGAGUAAUGUCUGGGAAACUGCCCGAUGGAGGGGGAUAACUACGGGAAACGGUAGCUAAUACCGCAUACCAUCGGAUGUGCGCAGAUGGGAUGAGCUAGUAGGUGGGGUAACGGCUCACCUAGGCGACGAUCCCUAGCGGGUCUGAGAGGAUGAUCAGCCACACUGGAACUGAGACACGGUCCAGACUCCUACGGGAGGCAGCAGUGGGGAAUAUUGCACAAUGGGCGAAAGCCUGAUGCAGCCAUGCCGCGUGUAUGAAGAAGGCCUUCGGGUUGUAAAGCACUUUCAGCGGGGAGGCGUUACUCGCAGAAGAAGCACCGGCUAACUCCGUGCCAGCAGCCGCGGUAAUAC
rnacentral:rRNA from 1 species